UCCGUAGGGCGCAAGCGUUGUCCGGAAUUAUUGGGCGUAAAGAGCUCGUAGGUGGCGUGUCGCGUCUGCCGUGAAAGCCCAUGGCUUAACUGUGGGUCUGCGGUGGAUACGGGCAGGCUGGAGGCUGGUAGGGGCAAGCGGAAUUCCUGGUGUAGCGGUGAAAUGCGCAGAUAUCAGGAGGAACACCGGUGGCGAAGGCGGCUUGCUGGGCCAGUUCUGACGCUGAGGAGCGAAAGCGUGGGGAGCGAACAGG
rnacentral:rRNA from 1 species